AUAGUAUUCCCUCGUACGGAUAGACCACAUUUUGCUUAUCCAUUCAUCUGUUGAUGGACAUCGGGAUUGUUAACAAAUAACAUGCCAAGUGGGAACUCAAGGUGAGCAGGGUCCCUGCCUGUCGCUGGGUCAGAACAGCAGGCUCUGAGGCCAGACCCUUGGGCUGGAAUCCCUUGGUUUCCCAUCUGUCUAAUGGGGGGAUGUCUACCUCUGAGGGUUGUGAUGGGGCUUUAAAAAGUGAACACACGUGAAAGACUUAGAAAGGUGCUUGGCACAGAGUAAGUGUUGUUGAAGAAUGGAGUCAAUAAAGGACAGCAAUUACACGGUGCGAUUAAUGCUGGGAAAGAAGGAAACAGGCGCUGACAAAGGCUGUGGGUGAGACAGGAGAGGAUGCUUAGACGAGGCAGCCACGGAAGGCCUGCGUCAGUCUUCAUUCAAGGCCCAAAUGAUGGGGAGGAACCAAAUGGAGGAAGUGUGAGGGGACCAGGGCUCCUGGCAGGGAAGACAGCAAACGCAAAGACGCAGAAGGAACACGCCAGCAGCAGCCAGGGCGACGCUGUCCAACAGGGAGAGCGUGUCGGCCGGGAAUGUGGGCUGCGGACGUAAUCUUAAAUUUUCUAGCAACUACGUUAAAGAAAGUCAAAAGAAACAGGUAAAAUUAAUUUUAAGAAUAUAUCGUAGUUCAUCUAAUAUAUCCAAAAUGUGAUCAAUAUAAAAACUGUUGAGGGGAUAUUCUGCAUUCUCUUUUUUCAUUCCAAGACUUCGAAAUGCAGAGUGUAUUCACACGCACGGCACAUCUCGGUUUGGACUGGCCAUAUUCAAGUGCUCAACAGCCACGUCAGGGAGUGGCCACCGACCUGGACAGGGCAGAGAAAGGACCUGUCAGAAGGCGAGCAGGGCGAGACUGCUGGGACCAGCGGGAGAGGAUGUGGUUUGCAUUUUAAACAGCUUGAGGAGGCUGCUGGAUGAGAACUGACUCUGGGGAGACAAGAGUAGAGGCAGGGGGACAACUUGGGAGGCAAGGGAUGAUGGUGGCCUUGGAUGUCGGAUGUUGACAGUGACAUGGAAGGGCUGACCGUUCCCAUCUCACCGUGUAACUCGUUGAGUAACUAAAAUGACCUUAUUAAGGUACCAGAUGGUUCGUGCAUGCAAGAUACUACUGUUGUUGCCACCCUGAAUGCUUUCGAUAUUAGGGACCAUGUUCUGUUUCCUUCACCCCUCUAUCCUUAGUGCCUGGCCCAGGGCUCAAUGAACCAUCCCCUGAUUCUGGCCCCACAGCCAUCUGGAGGCCGUGCAUGUCGAAGCAGGUGGCACAAGCUUCUCUAUAUGGUCUGCCGUUCUGCUGCCUGAGCAUUGCAGCCUGGCUUAUUAAUACUGAAACACUAGAGGGGCCUCUCCCUCGCCUUAAUCCACUGUUGCAUCAGUUCAAUGACAUGUUUUGGCAAGAACUCCAUGUCAAGAAGGGCAUGGGUGUGGAUGCCUCUGUCUACGAUCAGCUCCAGAAGGCGCUGGGACGCCCUCUUCCCCGCUCCCCCAAAUCACUUCUUCUCCAUCUGAGGUCGCUGUGGGAAGAGAUCACUUCCAAGGAGUGCAAUAUGUCCCACUCCAGGCCCCAGGCCAUCAUGAGCUUUCUGUACGUUACUAUGGAGAUGGGAUGUCAGGUCCCCACGGAGACGGGACAAUCUAGAGUUCCUGGGGGAAUGAGUGGUACGGGCUGAGGGCCUGAGAGACCCGGACCAGCCAGAGUGGGGAUUUCAGGGCUCUAAGUGGGCUGACAAGGAAACGGCAUGAGGCCAAAAGAGGAAGAAGCAGCUGAGAUCAACUGCUGGGAACAUGCAUAAGCGAGGGCAGCAUCCUUGGGCGUUUCAGGAAUAACAGACAGCCAGACUCACUGUCAAGCACAAAUGUGGGCCGGGAGAGAGGUCGGCGGCUGCCUCAAAGCUCACAGCCUGCUGUGAGGACCCAACAUGCCUUCCCAGGAGCGCUGAGGCCCCGUGAUUCCUCUUACUGAGACGCAGCUGAAAUCGGAAGUCACUACAGGAGGAAAACUUAUGCGAGGGGAAACUCCGGAUGUCCCCUAAACCCACCUCCGUCUCAUUAACGCCCCAUAGAACUCCACUGUCUGGAUGGACUUCGCUUUGAGGAGCAUUGGUGUGGUUUCAAGCUUUCCCCCCAUAAUAAACAAUGCUGCAAUUAACAUCAACGUGCAAAAAAAGAUGGACAAGUCUAUCUGUAAGAUAAUUUCUUAGAAGCGGAAUUCCUAGACCAGAGGGUUUAAUCACUUAUCACGUUGGUAAAUACAGUCAUGAGUUGCAUAGUGACAUUUUGGUCAACGACAGACCACAUAAAUGACAGUGGUCCCGUUAGAUGAGCACCAUGUAGCCUAGCUGUGUAGUGGGCUGUACCAUCUAGGUUUGUGCAAGGGCGCUCUACGAUGUUCGCACAACGACAGAAUCGCCUAAUGAUGCCUUUCUCAGACUGUGUCCUUGCCAUUAAGUGACGCAUGGCUGUCCCAUCACACUGACAGCAUAGCAGAAUGCCUGCUUCCCCUCUCCCUUGCCAAUGUUAGGUUUUAUCAACUUUUUUGAUCUUUGCCAGUCUGACAGGUGAAAAAAAUGCUAUGUCCUUGUUGUCUCAUUUUGCACAGAUUUCAUUGUAAACGAAGUCUAUUGAUGGGUCUGUUCAUAUUCUGUUUGUUCAUAUCCUUUAAGCAUUCUCUCUUGCUUGAGUUCCCCACCUCUGGAGCUGGCAGACUACGGCCAAGGGCGCAAUUGCACGCUGCCCAUUUUGUGCCACUGCCCAGAUCCAGCCACACGCAUUCCUGUCUGCAGCUGCCUUCGAGCUACAUGGACAGCGCUGAGCAGUUUCGACAGUAAAAAGAUUUACUAUCUGGACCUUUGCAGAAAAAGUUUGCUGACGCCUGACUCGAGUUGAUUUCUGGAUAUGAGUUCUUUGUAAAUUAAGCAAACAGUCUUUGUCAUAUAUAGUCUGUUUUGCAUUGAACUUAUCACUCUGUUCUGCUUCCUGCCCCCAGUUCAGCAAACACAAUCAGGUCACAAGUAACACUUUAAAAGCAGAGCCCCCUGAACACUUUAAUGUACACAGUGCAUCUGGAAACACUCUGGUCCACAAUAUUUUAGGGGUGGCAUGUUCAUACCCAUUUUACACAUCUGGUAACUGAGGCUCAGAGCCAUGGGUGACCUUCCUGAGGUCACACAGCUAGCAGGCGGCAGAGCCAGGAUCCACACCCUUGUCUGCCUGGCUCCAAGUCCAUAGAUCUUUCCACUUGAGCAUCCUGCCUCUUAAUGCACAGGACCAGCACCAGGGGCUGGCGGUAAAAAGCAAAGUCUGACAGCUGUUGCCUGUGGCACCACAAGGAUCCGUGAGGUGUGUGGGACAGAGCACGGGGGAGCCCCCGCUGUGUCACUGUCAUACUUGUGUAUAAAGACUGCACAUUCCUGAGUCGGAGUGGGGGCAGGAAAGAAGGUUACACCUUCGAAACAGAAACCACAUGGUGUGGACGGAGCCCUCCUUUGGGGUAUGGAGUGUGCACGCCCCUCCCUCUGGCUUACCCACUUGUGAGGAGCAUUGCCUACUGUGGAAUGGCCCCCCAACGGAGCGGGGAGGACCAGAGAACAGUGACGUAACAGAUGUGCUCACCCACGGGGCGGGAGCAGGGAAGAUAGCGUGUGAGCCUGAGGCAGCCGGAAGCGAGAACUUGUAUUACCCCCUGGCACCGGUCCACGGACACCCGUUACACAAAUUUGACAGCGACCAUUACAAUCUCGGAACCCUGAACAAAUUACACCAACAAGGUUACCAUCCUGAAGAGUCCCCCCAUUAAAACCACUGACCCACAGAGCAAGAGUCGCUCAAGGAGAGUUUAGGAGACGACGUACGGGGCAUGUUUUUUGUAAGGCUUAACGCGCACUAGCCGUGUUCUUCUCCAGCUGCCAUCUGGGAACCUGCCGGCAAAGUUUCCUUCAGCAGAAAAGCGUUUUUAAGGGGCUUCCUCGAAAGUUGUCUUUUCCUUUUCUUUCUGUUCCCAUAUUUAAGUCAAUUCAAAUAUUUACUUUCUAGACCAAUCAGAUAAUGCGGCAUAUCUACAGGGUGGAUUUCCUUCAGUUGUCACAGUUGCCCUGGAAAAUGGGAGUGCAGACCAAGAAACUAAGUAAGAGAGUCCACCCAGCUGGGGUUGGUGGGUAAGCCGGCAUUCCAGCCCUGGCUCUGGAUGUCAACGUCCAACCUCUUAUCCUCCCCAGAUCUUGGGAGUAACAGCAAAGUGAACAGUAUGUCACAUCUCGUGUCUCUUCAUUUUACGCUUGGUGUAACUGGCAAUCCUGAAAAUAAUCAGUAUUAAUAUCCUGAUCUCGCUGGAGAGAAAUGACCUUCAGAGAGCUGAAGUGACCACACUUCUGUCCAAGGUCUCAGGGUGACCACAGAAGAGUAGUUGUGACCGGAACCCAUGUCUGGGGCCACAGCGUGACCCUCCUUCCCACACGGCCACAGACCCAAAAGGUGGUUGCCUUCUUCCCUUGAUCUUGAUCUGACUUUUUUUUUUUAACCCAAGUUUCACAGAGCUGGUUUUGCAAAACAACAGCUGUCACGCUCUGGGUCAUGGUGAUCAUUUGGGAAUUCUGGCCCACAUGGGACCUAACCCUCGUCUCGAUUACCAGGAGACGCCGUCUUCAUGGCCCGGUGCAGGGGAAAGGCAAGAGAGAAGGGACGGCAGUUUUAAACGGACAUGAGGAGAUUCCAGUUAUCAGCAUCUGACACUCCUUUUUUUCAUCACAGUCACCUGAACGGCAGCCCUCGAUCUGGCCUUUCAUGCACGACGUGCUCCAAGGAGCCACAGCCACAGAAGCACCCUCAUUCUCCUCCACCCCCUCACCCUGCCACCACCAAACCAGACACCCAGCCCUUCAGUCCCGGAAGCAAGUCUCGCAUCAGAAGGGCGAAGAAACACUGUGUAAGAAAGUAGAGAAGGACGUCAGGAGGUUGCCCUUCCAGCACAACUCAGCCUGGAACCUUCUAGUAAUCCCUGGGCCCUCUGAGUCCCACCAUCUCCCCACUCGCCUCCCGCCAUCCUCCCUUGCCUCAACUCUUGCUCGUCUCGUUUGAGUCUCAGCCACAGUCGGAUCACGACAUACAUACGCUGUACAUGUGACCCACUUAGGGCACGGACAUCGGGGUCUCACAUUCCUUCUAUGUGUCCCGCACGAUGCCCAGUAUAGCAUCCCCCAGACAGGGCCCACUGAUUGAUUCAAACAAGGCCCAUCAUCUUUAGAAGAAGAGUUAGGUUUACAGGUCCUUUUAAAAGACCACAGAAAGAAUGAACGGGCAAACACAAUGUGGUCCAUCCAGACAAUGGGAUAUGAUUCAGCCUCACAAAGGAAGGAAAUUCUGACACAUCUCCAACAUGGAUGAAUCUUGAGGACAUUACGCUAAGUGAAAUAAGCCAGACAUAAAAAGAAACACAGUGUGAGUCCAUUUACGGGCGGUAGCUAAAGCAGGCGGACUCACAGAGACAGAGUGUACAAUGGUGGGUGGGGGGUGGGGGUGGGGAGUUGGUGUUUAAUGGGGACACAGAGUUUCCGCUUGGGGAGGUGAAAAUGUUCUGGAGAUGGAUAGUGUACAGCAAUGUGAAUAUUCUUAAUGCCCCUGGACGGUACGCUUAAAAAUGGUAAAUUUUGUGUUAUAUGUAUUUUACCAUAAUUUUCGAAAAGUCACAUCAAGGAUCAUUGAUGCACAGAUUCGAGACCAGACUGGUGGGGAGACCACCUUCCCUUCUGAUAUGGAGGGGCAUCUCCAAACCAUUUCGCCAGGAUGUGACAAGGCUGAGCCUGAGGCUAUCUUUGGCCUCAAAGCGCCCCCUGGCCCACCUGGGACCCAUCAUUUCCUUACAGCUGCCGGGAGGGUGUAGGGGUGGAGAGCAGCAGAGAUUCAGGGAAAGGACAGAAGUGCAGCGCUGGAGCUGAAACCCCGUCCUCCCGGGCGCACAGGGUUUCCAGCACACAUUACGGAGGAGGCGCUCAGUAGCUGUUGAGUGACUGACCGUUUUUUCCCUUUCUGGUAGCUUGGUAACCUUGCACCUUCAAGAGGAGUCACAAAUGGCAGGAGAAACUUUUUCCAACUACAAAUGAGAGGCGUUGGGAACAGGCUGGACACACAGGUGCACCGAAGGGCACCCUGCCGGGCCACUGCCCCCGACCCCCCACUCACCCCUUUCCUCUCUGAGGGGCGCGGGGACCCUGCCAGAGGGAGCCACUUAGAGACGGACGAACCGAGAGAAACACGGAGAGAGAUAAGGGAGGUGGAAAGUGGAAGAAAGAAAAAGUCCGCCCGACCCGGACCCAGAGAACCUGCCAGAACGCAGGUGAGGCCCUGGGAAGGGUUGCCCCCUUUUGGGUUCGCCAGGCUCUGAGUGGGAGGUUUGGGCAGCCGUCCCUUUAGAGGAAUUGGCCACGUUCUGGAGAUCUUCCAGACCGUGUCACUGCGAUUUAGGGGGGAGGCUUUGCCCACAAAGGAGGGGGAAGCAAGGGACUUGGGGGGCGUCGGCACCCCCAGGCCUCUUUCCUCCCUCAGCCUUUGUUCUGGAAGCUUCCUGGGGCUUGCCUGGCUGUCAGCAUCCUCCACCGGCCUCCCACACCCCUCCUGGACACUUCAUGGUGACAGUCCAGCGGGACCCUCCUCACCCCACUGCCUCGGCCCCCACACCCGCCCCCGAGUAGUGUUCUCAGAGGCCUGGCGAAGCACCCUUCUAGGGAACGUACCCUCCUGUUUCGUGUUUUAAGUUCUCUGAGAAAAGUUCCUUGAGCUCCCGGAGGCAAAGCCAUUCGAUAAAUUAAACCACCAAGCAAGAGGAUAAAUAAAUAAUGGCGCUGCGGUCCACGCGCAGGAGCAUUUGAAGUCCCGGCAAUUUGGAGGAGCGAGGACGUACCGAUGCCCACGGGCCAGGCAUUAAGGAAGACACAAGUUUGCUUUCUGCAAAGCGUGUUCAAAAAUGCAAACAAGAACCGCAAAGAGAGAAGGUUCCCAUAAUAAAUACCAAGGGCCCCAGCAUCCAGGUCCUGAGAGCCCCAUGACUCCUCCGACCCGGGAGGAAUUUCCUUUGCGCUCGGUGAAACCUGGAAAGUGGGGGUUUAACCGAGCGCUCUGGGUUCCCUCAUGCAGGAUCUGAAGGGUGGGUUUGCCCUAAAACAGCAUCAAAACUCAUUAUGGAGAUAGAAGUACAGUUAAGUGCACAAACUCUGCAAAAGCUUGAUGAAUUUUCACAAAACCAGCACACUCAUGUGACCCACACCCGAGUCAAAGCAUAGAACUUUGUCUGAACCCCAGAACUCCCCUUGAUACUCCUUUCUAGUCCCCCCACCCCCAACCCAAGGAUAGUCACAAUCUGACCUCUAACAGCAUAGAUCUGUUUUGCCUGAUUUCUUGCCUAUAAAGUUCAAAAACUUUAUACAAAUGGAGCCAUACGUAGAUUCUCUUUUGGGUCUGGAUUCUUUCACCCAAUAUGUUUCUUCAGCUUUAGUGAUGGGGUUACAAGCAGGUAUAGUUAGUUCAUUGACGACACGUGUCCUUUUCUCCCCAAGACCUUAGUAGAAUGUUUAGACAUCCAGAAGAGUUAGAAGGGUUGUACAGUGAACACCCAUAUAUCACACCACGUAAUUCUACAAUGAACAUUUUGCUCUAUUUGCUUCGUCACACAUCUAUCCAUCUAUCCCUCUGGCCAUCAACCCUUCUCAUUUCUUUUUUUUGUCUUUGGAUGCAUUUCUAAAUAAGUCGAAGACAUCAACAUACUUCACCUUGAAAUACUUCAUCAUGCCUAUCAUUACCUAGAGAGUUUUUUUAGGUAAAAUUUACAUCCCGAUUUUAACUAUAUCAUGCAAUGAGUUUUGACAAAUGUAUACACUUUGUAACCAAAAUCCCUGUGAAGAUAUAGAACUCUGUGUUCCAACAUGGCAACCACAAACCGCACUUGGCUUUUGAAUGCUUGCCAUGUGGCUGGUGUGAAUGAGGAACCAACUUUUAAAUUCCAUUUAAUUCGAAUUAAAAUCUAAAACUGAUACUUGAUUCUGUUAUUGGAAAACUUUUAAGUAUGUGGAGAGCAAUUUGAGUACAUUAAUCUACUUUUGCAACUGUAAAUUUUACAAAUAGAGGUCAAGCGUUUGCAAGGAAAAUUUGGUGUCCGAAUUGAGGUGCUGUAAGACACAGUAUGUAAAAAAGAAUGCAAAACAUGUCAUUCAUAAUUUUGGUAUUAAUUGCAUGUUGAAAUAAUAUUCCAGAUAUGUUGGGUUAAAUAAAAUAAAUUAUCAAAAUGAA